GACGAACGCUGGCGGCGUGCCUAAUACAUGCAAGUCGAGCGGACCUCUUCGGAGGUCAGCGGCGGACGGGUGAGUAACACGUGGGCAACCUGCCUGUAAGACUGGGAUAACACCGGGCAACCGGUGCUAAUACCGGAUAAUUCUUUUCCUCACAUGGGGAAAAGCUGAAAGACGGCAUCUCGCUGUCACUUACAGCUGGGCCCGCGGCGCAUUAGCUAGUUGGUGGGGUAACGGCCCACCAAGGCGACGAUGCGUAGCCGACCUGAGAGGGUGAUCGGCCACACUGGGACUGAGACACGGCCCAGACUCCUACGGGAGGCAGCAGUAGGGAAUCUUCCGCAAUGGACGAAAGUCUGACGGAGCAACGCCGCGUGAGCGAAGAAGGCCUUCGGGUCGUAAAGCUCUGUUGUCAGGGAAGAACAAGUAUCGGAGUAACUGCCGGUACCUUGACGGUACCUGACCAGAAAGCCACGGCUAACUACGUGCCAGCCGCCGCAGUAAAAC
rnacentral:rRNA from 1 species